rnacentral:rRNA from 1 species
GAUGAACGCUGGCGGCGUGCCUAAUACAUGCAAGUCGAGCGAACAGAUAAGGAGCUUGCUCCUUUGGCGUUAGCGGCGGACGGGUGAGUAACACGUGGGUAACCUACCUAUAAGACUGGGAUAACUUCGGGAAACCGGAGCUAAUACCGGAUAAUAUUUCGAACCGCAUGGUUCGAUAGUGAAAGAUGGUUUUGCUAUCACUUAUAGAUGGACCCGCGCCGUAUUAGCUAGUUGGUAAGGUAACGGCUUACCAAGGCGACGAUACGUAGCCGACCUGAGAGGGUGAUCGGCCACACUGGAACUGAGACACGGUCCAGACUCCUACGGGAGGCAGCAGUAGGGAAUCUUCCGCAAUGGGCGAAAGCCUGACGGAGCAACGCCGCGUGAGUGAUGAAGGUCUUCGGAUCGUAAAACUCUGUUAUUAGGGAAGAACAUACGUGUAAGUAACUGUGCACGUCUUGACGGUACCUAAUCAGAAAGCCACGGCUAACUACGUG